GAGAGUAUAAUCGAACUGGUUUACUAGAGUCUUAUAGAGGAACAGAGGAAUUGCAAGAGUAAGGAUGAAAUCUAUUGAUACUUGUAGGACCGCCAAAGGCGAAGGCAUCGUUCCAGGUAAAGACUGACGUUGAGGGACGUAGGCGUUGGGAGCGAAAAGGAUUAGAUACCCCUGUAGUCAACGCUGUAAACGAUGAGUGCUUAAGAUUAGUAUAAAUUAUUAAGUAAUAAUUAAGCUUUAAUGCUUUUUUUAUAAUAAAAAAAAUUAGUCUCGAAAUGAAGAUGUUAAGCACUUCACCUGGGGAGUACUGUCGCAAGGCUGAAACCCAAAACAUUAGACGGUCACGGAAACCAGCAGUGAAGCAUGUUAUUUAAUACGAUGAUCCGCGUACAACCUUACCACUUCUUGAAUGUCCUUUUCUGUAAAAAGAAAAGGCCUAUUUAAUUAAAGUAAAUUUAUAGCAGCACUAUCGGCAAAAAAUUUUUGUCUUAUUGCGCUGCGAAAAAAAAAAAAUAAAACAUUAAUUAAAUUUGGAUAAAUACAACAGGCGUUGCAUGGCUGUCUUCAGUUCGUGUCGUGAGAUGUCAGGUUCAUUCCGGUCAACGAAUGAAACCCUUCUUUCUUAAUUUUGCAGCAUCUUUUGAUUAAUUUAAAUUAAAUUUGCUGCAUUAAGAUGACCCUUGGAAAACGAGGAUAUAAUGGGGAUUAAGACAAGUCGUCAUGGCCUUUAUGAAGUGGGCUAUAGACGUGCCACAAAAGCUUUUACAAUGGGAUGCUAAGACGUGAGUCAGCGCUAAACCUUAAAAAAAGCUAUGUUCGGAUUGUAGUCUGCAACUCGACUACAUGAAGCAGGAAUUGCUAGUAAUCGUAAAUCAGGACGUUACGGUGAAGUCUUAAAUCUGUGAUGUACUAACUACUCGUCAAGCGCGGAAAGGUGCGUGGCCCCGAAGUGUUAUAAUUUGGCUCAUUUCUUUAAUAUUUUAAG
rnacentral:rRNA from 1 species